GCAUGUAGGAAGCAUCGCUGUGCGCCCGGCCCUGGAGCAGCCAGUGCAACCAGACCUGGCCUCUUCCUCCCCGGAUGGCCUUCCUGAUCUGCUGGGGAAAAUAGGUACUGAAGACAUGGCUGCAAACUACAUACUGCAAGGUGAUAAAUGCUCUGAUGGAGGCUGUAAAGUGCCCUGGGAGGAGAGGAGGUAUUUGGGAAGCUUUGGUGAAGGAAGAAUCUUGGAGAUGGAUCUUGAAAGGUAAGGGGAGAAGUUCCUGUUGUGGCUGAGCAGUAAUGAACCCAACUGGUAUCCAUGACGAUGCGGGUUUGAUCCCUGGCCUCACUAAGUGGGUUAAGGAUCUGGCAUUGCCUUGAGCUGUGGUGUAGGCCAGCAGCUACAGCUCUGAUUCCACCCCUAGCCUGGGAACCCCCAUAUGCCAUGGGUGCAGCAUUAAAAAGACAAACAAAAAAAAAGAUGAGAGUUUUCCAUAUGGAUGUGGCAGAGAGCAAAAGUGGGCUAAGGAGUGACACCUGGGUGACAGGCACUCCUGGGUCUGGAGGUGGACAGAGGGCCCAGGGUCUGUCAUUUGGCGGGGGUCAGGGGGAGAGUGUGCUGGGGGAGAGGGCUGGACAGUCGGCCGGAAAGCAAGGGAAGCUGCUGUGGAGAAACCCCAGGGACCCUGGCCCUGUUAUUGGAAACCUUCUGGGGGGGCCUCAGGGGCGCCGGUCCUUCCCAUUAAAAUGCAAACAGAACAUGUCCUGGGACCACCACGAGUGCUCUGUGGGCAGCAGAGCCUGCGGUCCAGCCCAUGCGCAGCUUGUAGUCAGGGAGGGGACUGUACACACACACACAGGGGAUGCUUCUACUAUUUUACUCAGUUACUGCUGACACUGAACUCAGAAUCUUCUUAUGGAAAACAAAACGGGGUCAAAAUAAAACAGAGACACACCUUGGAGGACUCCGAACUAGAGGAGACGGCCAUGGUCUAGAACCAGUCUCUGGAAGGGCGAGAAGCUGAUGCAGGUCAAAUUCCUCACUAGGUUCUGGGCUGCCCCAGAUCACGUAGCUUGCAGGCUUUCUCGGUUAGAGUUUAAGCCACGAAGGCCAGCCCCGGCCUGCCUUUGUCACCACUGACCCACAAACAGGUGCCUUCGGGCACAGCGGGCUGGCGCUUUGAUUCAAGGUAGAGCCUGCAUCCUGGGCUGGAGCUGAAGCCCCGUGUGGGAUCCAGAGGCUGAUCCCACAGCAGCCGUGCCGCCCAGCUCCCUCCUGGCUUUACAUUUAUGCCGUUUGUAAUUACAGAGCCACGCAGCAGACCCUCCCAGACUGAGCCAGAAAUAGUCAGCUUUUUAAUUUGAGUUUUGUUCCCCUGAAGGAAAGCCUUGGGACCUCCUGCCUGCAACUUGUGGGCAGGGGCUGGGGGCAGAGGGGGAGGGGCUAAGUGGGGCCUGGAGCUUGGAGCUGUAGGGGAUCCUGUGACCUUGAACAUCUCACUCCAGCCUGACUCCGCGCCAUCAAGAAGGGCGGCCUCGGAUUUCCCAUGGUGGUGCAGUGGAAACGAAUCCAACUGGGAACCAUGAGGUUGUGGGUUUGAUCCCUGGCCUCGCUCAGUAGGUUAAGGAUCUGGCAUGGCCGUGAGCUGUGUAGGUCAAAGACACGGCUCAGAUCUGGCGUUGCUGUGGCUCUGGCUUAGGCUGGCAGCUGUAGCCCUGAUCAACCCCUAGCCUGGGAAACUCCAUGUGCUGCACCUGUGGCCCUAAAAAGCAAAUAAAGGGGGGGGGCAGCCUCAGCAGGCCUCAAGUUCCCGUCGUGGCUCAGUGGCUAACGAAUCCGACUAGGAACUAUGAAGUUUCGGGUUCGAUCCCUGGCCUUGCUCAAUGGGUUAAGGAUCUGGCGUUGCCAUGAGCUGUGGUGCAGUUUGCAGAUGUGGCUCAGAUCCCGCGUGGCUGUGGCUGUGGCUGUAGGCCGGCAGCUGGAGCUCUAAUUUGACCCCUAGCCAGGGAACCUCCAUAUGCCACGGGUGCAGCCCUGGAAAAGGCAAAAAGACAAAAAAAACCCAAAAAACAAAAAACUACAUCCUCAACAGCCCUUCACUCCACACCUGUACACUUUUGCAGGGUCUCUGAGCUCUCCUCCAGUUCUGGGCUUUCAUCUUUUCUUGGGAUGGGAAAAUUUCCUCCCCUCCCUCCCACGAAGCCAGCACCAGCCUGUGGCUGUCUGCUGUGGGGUGGGGGUGGGGAUGUCUCCAGUUUCCUCAACAGUCCUUCUCUGUCCCAUCUGGCUUCCUCCUUCUCCCCCACCCCCAGCCACUAGUCCUUUCCCGGAGCUGGUCCUUGGCGCCUGCGCUCAGCCCAGCCUUUGUCUUUCCAGGAAAGCGCCUGGCCAGCUCUCCUCUCCCGCUGGUCCCUUCCACUGUCAAGGCCCCACACACCUGACCACCAGCAGCUUCCUGGCUGUGGCCUCUGGAUCUCCCCCUGGCUUCUCAGACCGACCCAGUCUUGUCCCCAUGCUCCCCACCUGCCUGUCCUUAUUCCUUCUGAGCGUCAAUUAAUGGAGCCACUCCUGCCUGGUCUGCGCCUUGGGGUCCAGGGAAGGGUGGGAACAUGGGGCCUUGCCUUAGAAGGGAAGGACCCUUCUCCUGGCUAAUAGGAGCUUGGUCCUCAGGUCUCUGUGCAUUGUGCAGCUUUCUUGCUCCAAAGGAUGGGAACAGAUACUUUUUCUUCUUUGUUUUUUGGCCUUGGUGAGCAGGGUUGGGGGCUGGGUGCAGUGCAUGGAGAUCCUGGGCCAGGGAUCAGAUCCCAGCUGCAGUUGCAACUUACAUCGUAGCUAUGGCAACGCUGGCUCCUUUAACCCACUGUGCUGGGCCUGGUAUCAAACCUGUGUCCUGGCCCCACACAGUGGGUUAAAGAAGCUGGCUGCAGAGACACUGCCAAUCCUGUUGCACCACAGAAAGAACUCCAGACCCUUGUUUUUGAAACUCCAGGCUUUCUAUCCCUCAGGCCCAGGGUCCAGAAGUGUCUCUGUCAUGAGCUGGAGACAGAGCCAGGCCAAAGCCAGGUCUCCAGACUCCUGCCCCUGGGGUCUGCCUGAGCACCUCUGCGUGCCAUGCCCUGUCCCCAACCCCCACUGUUGUGGCCUCUGCAAGCUCUCUGGGGCCACACCAAGCCAGGCACCCCUCCUGUCAGGAGAUGCCUGGGGGGCAGGCACAGGGGUCUCUGGGAGUUCCUGGAUGGCCAAAGCCCUUCUUGGUCCCAGGGAGACAGAACACUUAGGAGCUUAUUUGGAGUUCUUGUUGUGGCUCAGCGGGUUAAGAACAUGACUAGUAUCCACGAGGACGUAGAUUUGAUCCCUGGUCUCGAUCAGUGGGUUAAGGAUCCGGUGUUGCUGUGAGCUGUGGUGUACAACACAAAUGUAGCUCGGAUACGGCUGUGGCUGUGGGUAUGGUGCAGGCCGGCAGCUGUAGCUCCGAUUCGACUCCUAGCCUUGGAAC
rnacentral:lncRNA from 1 species